CCUACGGGAGGCAGCAGUGAGGAAUAUUGGUCAAUGGGCUUACGCCUGAACCAGCCAAGUCGCGUGAGGGAAGACUGCCCUAUGGGUUGUAAACCUCUUUUGUCAGGGAGCAACGCCGGCUACGUGUAGCCGGACUGAGAGUACCUGAAGAAAAAGCAUCGGCUAACACCGUGCCAGCGGCCACGGUAAUACGGAGGAUGCGAGCGUUAUCCGGAUUUAUUGGGUUUAAAGGGUGCGUAGGCGGAAUGCCAAGUCAGCGGGAAAAUCGCGGGGCUCAACCGCGCUCCGCCGUUGAAACUGGCGUCCUUGAGUGGGCGAGAAGUAUGCGGAAUGCGUGGUGUAGCGGUGAAAUGCAUAGAUAUCACGAAGAACUCCGAUUGCGAAGGCAGCUUACUGGAGCCCAACUGACGCUGAAGCACGAAAGCGUGGGUAUCGAACAGGAUUAGAUACCCUAGUAGUC
rnacentral:rRNA from 1 species